CCGAGAAUAGCUCAGUUGGUAGAGCGGGAGACUGUAGUUUAAUAUGAUAUCUCUAGGUCCCUGGUUCAAAUCCGGGUUCUCGGA
rnacentral:tRNA from 1 species